rnacentral:rRNA from 1 species
UACGGGGGGGGCAAGCGUUGUUCGGAAUUACUGGGCGUAAAGGGCUCGUAGGUGGCCAACUAAGUCAGGCGUGAAAUCCCUCAGCUUAACUGGGGAACUGCGUCUGAUACUGGAUGGCUUGAGUUUGGGAGAGGGAUGCGGAAUUCCAGGUGUAGCGGUGAAAUGCGUAGAUAUCUGGAGGAACACCGGUGGCGAAGGCGGCAUCCCGGACCAACGCUGACACUGAGGAGCGAAAGCGUGGGGAGCGAACAGG